rnacentral:rRNA from 1 species
GUGCCAGCCGCCGCGGUAAUACCGGCAGCCCGAGUGAUGGCCGAUCUUAUUGGGCCUAAAGCGUCCGUAGCUGGCUGCGCAAGUCCGUCGGGAAAUCCACUCGCCCAACGAGUGGGCGUCCGACGGAAACUGCACAGCUUGGGACCGGAAGACCGAAGGGGUACGUCCGGGGUAGGAGUGAAAUCCUGUAAUCCUGGACGGACCACCGGUGGCGAAAGCGCCUUCGGUAGACGGAUCCGACAGUGAGGGACGAAAGCUAGGGUCUCGAACCGGAUUAGAAACCCCGGUAGUCC